AUGGGCAUCAAGAUGGAAUCACAGACUCAGGUCAUCAUAUUUGUACUUCUCUGGUUGUCUGAUACCAAUGGGCGCACUGUGAUGAUCCAGUCUCCCAAAUCCAUGUCCACAUUGGGAGGAGACUCGGUCACCAUGAGCUGCACAGGCAGUCAGAAUAUGGGUAGUUAUAUAUCCUGGAACCAACAGAAACCAGGGCAGUCUCCUAAACUGCUUAUAUCUUGGGCAUUCAAUUGGUACACUGGGGUCCGUGGUUACUUCAUAGGCAGUGUGUCUGGGAUUACCAUCAGCAGUGCACAGGCUAAAGACCUGGCAGUUUAUUACUGUAAGCAGCAUUAUGAUACUCCUCUCAUAGUGCUUCAGCCUCCUACACAAACCUCCUUGAGAGCCUCACCAGAUGCCUGUAGCACACACAGCCCUGGUCUGCACACUGCCCACUUCUGCCUGGGAGCUGCUAUGCCUGUCUAA